UUAAUUAAAUUAAUAAAAGCAGAACGCAUUGAAGGGUCACUCUAUCCUGAUGAAGAUAAUUUAGACUUGAUGCCACCACUACCACAACUGGAGCAAGCACAAGAUUGAGACGGUUAUUGUCUCAAUACCAUUAUACAAAUUAACUACAUGCUGCUUCAUCAUAGUUGACUAUAACCUUUACAUGUAGCUCAUUAACUUGUACUAUUUUAAUUAAGAUAAACUCUUAUGUAGUCUCGCUGUCAUUAUACAAAAUAUGCAGCUUUAAGUUAA